rnacentral:rRNA from 1 species
AUGGCCACCUGCUUCUCUGACAUUAUUAAGGACCACUCCCUGGACUUCUUAGGUAUUCAGGAAACAAAGAAAAAAACCUUUGAUCAAAAAUAUUUGAGGAGAGUUGACCCAUUUGACAGAUUUAGUUGACAUUGGAUCCCUUCUGUUGGGAAAUCAGGUGGUGUGUUGUGUGGGGUCAAAAAACAGAGCCUGGAGGUGGUUUCCUGGAAUGCGGGUAAGUACCUCAUGCAAGUUGCAGUUCUUGAUGUUACCCUCAAAAUUAUAUGGACAUUGGUGGUGGUUUAUGGGGCGGCGCACGACGAUAAGAAAGAUGAGUUCCUAGAUGAGCUGAUCUCGAUCUGCACCUAUGUCAGGACUCCUUAUGUGAUUGGUGGUGAUUUUAACAUCCUUCAGGAAAGCUACGACAAGAACAAGGAUCUUCAUAGAUCCCUGUACAUUGAUAGAUUUAACUCUAUUAUUCAAAACCUUAACCUUAGAGAAAUUCACAUGGGGGGAGGUAAGUAUACUUGGACCAACAAACAGAGGCACCCUACUCUGGAGAAACUAGACAGGAUCCUUAUGAGCCCUGACUGGGAAGACUUAUUCCCCUUAGUUUCGGUUCGUAAGCUUGUGAAAGAUGUAUCUGACCACAACCCCCUGCUGCUCUCAUCCAAC